rnacentral:rRNA from 1 species
AGAGUUUGAUCAUGGCUCAGGAUGAACGCUGGCGGCGUGCUUAACACAUGCAAGUCAGGGAGAAGCUCACCUUCGGGUGAGUGGGCACCGGCGCACGGGUGAGUAACACGUGGAUAAUCUGCCCCUAUCUCAGGGAUAACGUUUGGAAACGAACGCUAAUACCUGAUGAGGCGUUUACGUCAAAGUUUCGACGGAUAGGGAUGAGUCUGCGUCUAAUUAGCUUGUUGGUGGGGUAACGGCUCACCAAGGCGACGAUUAGUAGCUGGUUUGAGAGGAUGAUCAGCCACACCGGAACUGAGACACGGUCCGGACUCCUACGGGAGGCAGCAGUGAGGAAUUUUGGGCAAUGGGGGCAACCCUGACCCAGCGACGCCGCGUGCAGGAUGACAGCCCUUCGGGUUGUAAACUGCUUUCGGGUAGGAAGAAAAGCCGGGUAUCCCGGCCGGGACAGUACUGCCAGAAGAAGCACCGGCAAACUACGUGCCAGCAGCCGCGGUAAUACGUAGGGUGCGAGCGUUAUCCGGAAUUACUGGGUAUAAAGGGUGCGUAGGCGGGCUUGUGCGUCGAUGGUUAAAGACCGGGGCUUAACUCCGGGAAUGUCAUCGAUACGGCAGGUCUUGAAUGUGAGAGAGGAUGAUGGAAUUCCUGGUGUAGCGGUGAAAUGCGUAGAUAUCAGGAGGAACACCGGUAGCGAAGGCGGUCAUCCGGCUCAUUAUUGACGCUGAGGUGCGAAAGCGUGGGUAGCGAACGGGAUUAGAGACCCCGGUAGUCCACGCCGUAAACGAUGGAUACUUGAUGUUUAGGGUUAGACCUAAGUAUCGAAGUUAACGCGAUAAGUAUCCCACCUGGGGAGUAAGGUCGCAAGACCCAAACUCAAAGGAAUUGACGGGGGCCCGCACAAGCGGUGGAACAUGUGGUUUAAUUCGAUGCAACGCGAAGAACCUUACCUGGACUUGACAUGUUAGUGUCGGGUACGUGAAAGCGUACCUCUUUACUUGCAAUUGCGCAAGUAGCACUAUCACAGGUGAUGCAUGGCUGUCGUCAGCUCGUGUCGUGAGAUGUUGGGUUAAGUCCUUAAACGAGCGCAACCCCUGUCCUUAGUUACCAUCAGGUCAAGCUGGGGACUCUAAGGAGACUGCCGAGGAUAACUCGGAGGAAGGUGGGGAUGACGUCAAGUCAGUAUGUCCCUUAUGUUCAGGGCUACACACGUGUUACAAUGGCAGGUACAAUGGGUAGCGAAGCCUAGAGGUGUAGCCAAUCCUAUAAAGCCUGUCUAAGUUCGGAUUGGAGUCUGCAACUCGACUUCAUGAAGUCGGAAUCGCUAGUAAUCGCGGAUCAGCAUGCCGCGGUGAAUAUGUUCCCGGGCCUUGUACACACCGCCCGUCACGCCAUGGAAGUCGGUGGCGCCCGAAGUUGCCAAGUGCGCAGGCACUGGUAAUGAAGGUGAGGCCGGUGACUGGGGCGAAGUCGUAACAAGGUAACC